rnacentral:rRNA from 1 species
AUGGCAAUCGUUGCUGCAUCCGUCUGGGCUGUAGCCGUGGUUGGCUGGUUGGUGUCGCCCAUCAUCACCUUGCUCCUACGCAAGAUGCUCUCCCGCCUCGGCUUCGACGCGUCCCACAAGCUCCUGGAGCUGGAGAUCCGCAUCGUCCCUGAGCUCAAGGAGACGAGGCGUGCCUUAUGUCAACAGUCGAUCCUUGCCGCCAAGCAAGAGACAGCGACGCAUAUAAAAUUUAAAAAGAAAUUCGGGCCGGUCGUGCUCCAGAAGAUGGUUCAGUUUGGCAGGAUGGAGGCCAUGCUGGUUCACGCUCUGGAGGAUGCGGAAGACAUCUUCCAUAAUCAGCAGGAGAUCAAGCUGUACCGCAGCAGGUGUUGGCACGGCCUCUACCGUGUCUCCGCCAGCUGCAUUGCUCGCUUCAAAAGCAGGUGCCUGUGGAUCGCACGCAUCAUCGUGAGCGGAUCAGCUCAACUAUUGCAUCGGGCGUGGAAGAUCUCCUUGGGUAGGUCAGAGGAUGUACCUCCGGUCACUACCUGUUCUGCGGUCUCAGAUGGACCAGUUGGUGCCGCCGCAGCAGAAUUAACAGUUCUGGUGAUUGCACCCUCAGAUUCCUUGUGGUGGUGGUGGUCAUCUUGUUGGUGCAGCUCCUUCAGGAACUGUUGUAUGUCCAUAUUCUACUGGUUAGUUCAUGCAACUGAGGCCGCCCACACUUACCGGAACUGGUCCUAUGACGUAGUUGGUAUCACAGGUUACCAGGAGAAUGCCUCUAUGUUAGAUAUUUUGCUUAUUACUAUCUCAAGACGAAAUUUGAAGAAAAGAAUAGAGAAAAUAGAAAGCACCGUCAGUGACGUGAAGGAGUCACUCCUAGUCCUAAGUGUAGCAAGGAAGCGCGCAUCACAAUUUCUUGCUGACUGUAAUGACAAUGCAUCAGAAGAAGACACUAAUGAAUAUGAUGGGAAUGCAUCAGAAGAAGACACUAAUGAAUAUGACGGGAAUGCAUCAGAAGAAGACUCCAAUGAAUAUGAUGGGAAUGCAUCAGAAGAAGACUCCAAUGAAUAUGAUGGGAGUGCAUCAGAGGAAAACUCCAAUGAAUCUGAUGGGAAUGCAUCAGAAGGAGACUCUAACGAAUCUGAUGGGACUGCAUCAGAAGAACACUCUAAUCAAUCUGGUGCAUCACAAGACUCACUCACACUAGACUUAAGUGCAGGAGGGUAUAAGUUAAAGCAGCUAAGGGACAUAAGCAAGUUGCAUUUCAAUCUGGAGAUCUAUGGCCUUGAAAAAGUUAAAAGCACGGAUGAAGCUCUUGAAGUCAAUCUAGCUGCCAAGUUUGAGGUCAUUAAACUGACAUUGGAUUGGGGUGAUGCUGAUGAUGGUACAAGGUGCAGUCCAGAAGUUGAAGCAGAGAUACUUGAGGUCCUAUGCCCUCCCGUGCGGCUUUUAACUCUGUACAUUGGUGGCUACAAAGGUUCGAGGUACCCAGAUUGGAUGGUGAGCAAGCAGAACGGUAGCACAAAGGACCUGGUAGAACUUGUAUUAGGUGGAUGGAGUCAACUGGGACCUGGUCCUGAACUUGUGGCUUUCCCUCAUCUUUGUAGCCUAGAGCUUGUGUCUUGCAGCUGGAAUGCCUUGCCUGACAAUAUGGAGCGCCUCACAUCACUCAAGAGACUGGAGAUCGUAUAUUGCGACAAUAUCCGGUCGCUUCCAACACUUCCCCAGUCUCUUGUGAAGUUUAUUCUUAUUGAUUGCGAUUAUGAGUUUAUGGAGUUCUGUCAAACAGUUGGGCAUCCAUAUUGGCAAAAGAUUGAGCACAUCCCAGAGAAAAUAUUUAAUGUCAAUUUCAACCCAUUCCCAGACUCUGAUGACUCUCAAGAGACUAAUGCUUCGCCGUCGUGA